rnacentral:rRNA from 1 species
UGGGUAACCUGCCCUGUACACACGGAUAACAUACCGAAAGGUAUGCUAAUACGAGAUAAUAUGUUUUGAUCGCAUGGUCGAGACAUCAAAGCUCCGGCGGUACAGGAUGGACCCGCGUCUGAUUAGCUAGUUGGUGAGGUAAUGGCUCACCAAGGCGACGAUCAGUAGCCGACCUGAGAGGGUGAUCGGCCACAUUGGAACUGAGACACGGUCCAAACUCCUAGGGAGG